UACGGAGGGUGCAAGCGUUAUCCGGAUUUACUGGGUUUAAAGGGUGCGCAGGCGGAUAUGUAAGUCAGUGGUGAAAUCUCUAGGCUUAACCUGGAAAUUGCCGUUGAUACUAUAUAUCUUGAAUGCUGUGGAGGUAAGCAGAAUAUGUCAUGUAGCGGUGAAAUGCUUAGAUAUGACAUAGAAUACCUAUUGCGAAGGCAGCUUACUACGCGGAUAUUGACGCUCAUGCACGAAAGCGUGGGGAUCAAACAGG
rnacentral:rRNA from 1 species